GUGCUUUCUCUGUGGCACAUGUACUAAAACCCAAAUGAUACCAAGAAGAUGAGCAUAGCCUGUACACCCAGAUAAAACACAAAUACAUGAAGUACUCUACAUUUUU